AGCACUCUAACAACCUAUGCGAAAUCAACCCACACUGUUUGUAAACUUACACUGCUGGAACUUUUAUCAUAAAAUUGAAUUUUCCACACAAUUAGGCGUACCGACAAAAGAAAGAGACACAACUAAACUAUGGAAAGUUCAAGCAGUUGCCAGGGUCCAGGCUACAGAUGCAGGCAACAUGUGCAGCAAGAUUCAGAAACAACAGAGAUCACACUUUGUUAGGCUCCAUCUCCUCUGCUGCUUCUUUCAGAAUUUCAGUUGUUCUGAACUAUUGCCGAGAACAGCAUCUUAUUGAUAUCCUCAGCAGCAUCGUCCUCGUCC
rnacentral:lncRNA from 1 species